AUCAGAGAAGCAGGAUUGCUUACAGUAGGUGAAACCGAGACUCGUCCGGGAAAUGCGGCCUGAUCCGUUGCAAGAGAAGCGAGUGCCGAGAACAUUGCUUUGCUGCAAAGAAGAGAGUAACUGAACACCAUGACCAACCAGGCUGAGGACACGGGGCUGUCGUUGGUGUCCAGCACUUCAGCACACUACUGACCGUGCAACCCGACCGGGGCUGGCUUUCAUGUUUUUGUCUCUAUGGAUUUGCCUAAAUGGUUUCAAGAUGCUUGGCCUUGCAACCCAGCUGCCAUGUUGUAAGGAAGCCCAAGCCAACCACUUGGAGAAUUGAAUCCCCCAGCCCAUCAGGUGCAUCAACUCCUACAUGUGUGAGGGAGAGAUGGAGGAAGACUUUGGAUGAUCCAGUCCUGGCCUUUGGGUCUUCCAGCUGAGGCCCCGAACAAUAAGCAGCAGAGACAAGUAUCGUCACUGAGGUGCUGUCUGAACAUCUGACCUACAGCAUCUAUAAGCAUCAUAAUGGCUGUCUCACAGAACUAAGUUCUGAGGUGCUUCACUCUGCAGGCAUAACAACUGGGACAACUCGGGGUUUGACUCUUCACACUCUCUUCCUGGCUCUUGCUGUCUGGUAAA